GUUUGGAGAGGGGUAGGAGAGGGGGGAGGCAGAGAGAGGAGUCAUUGAAGUCAGAGCCCGUGUUUAUGUUUGUGUCUGGGUUUCCCUCUCUCUUUUUCCCACAACAGAAAACAGCUCUCUGUCUCUCUCUCCCUCUCCCUACCUGUCUCCCCUCUCCCUCCCCCCUUCUUACU